rnacentral:rRNA from 1 species
AGACAGCUAGGAUGUUGGCUUGGAAGCAGCCAUUCAUUUAAAGAGUGCGUAACAGCUCACUAGUCGAGCGGUCCUGCAUGGAUAAUACGCGGGCAUAAGCAUAUAACCGAAGCUAUGGGAUUGUAGAUGAUACAAUCGGUAGGAGAGCAUUCCAUUCAGCAUAGAAGCAGUAUCGUGAGGUAUUGUGGAGCGGAUGGAAAAGCAAAUGUAGGCAUAAGUAACGAUAAUGCGGGUGAGAACCCCGCACGCCGAAAGAUCAAGGAUUCCCCGGCAAUGUCAAUCAUCCGGGGGUAAGUCGGAUCCUAAGGGUAAGCCGAGUGGCGAUCCCGAUGGCAAACAGGUUAAUAUUCCUGUACUGAUCAUAACUGCGAUGCAGCGACGCAGAGGUGACACUGCUGCGUACUGACGGAAUAGUACGUUGAAACCCGUAUUCUUUGAUACCGGUAGUGAAGCACGCCGGUAGAGAUGAAAGGUGAUAGUACCGCAAUGCUUCGGUUGCGCGGAUAACGCAGGUAAGCUGACUGCCAAGAAAACCUGCUAAGCUUCAGGUAAUGAUCAUCCGUACUGUAAACGGACACACGUGAUCAGGUAGAAAAUACUAAGGCGCUCGAGAGAUUCAUGGUUAAGGAACUAGGCAAAAUGGUCCUGUAACUUCGGGAUAAAGGACGCUCUUGUGAAAGAGCCGCAGAUAAUAGGCCCAGGCGACUGUUUACCAAAAACACAUGGCUAUGCUAAUUCGCAAGAAGAUGUAUAUGGCCUGACACCUGCCCGGUGCCGGAAGGUUAAGAGGAGAGCUCAGAGGCAACUCGAAGGUUUGAAUUGAAGCCCCGGUAAACGGCGGCCGUAACUAUAACGGUCCUAAGGUAGCGAAAUUCCUUGUCGGGUAAGUUCCGACCUGCACGAAUGGUGUAAUGAUCUGGACACUGUCUCAACCGUGAGCUCAGUGAAAUUGUAGUAUCGGUGAAGAUGCCGAUUACCCGCGAUGGGACGAAAAGACCCCGUGAACCUUUACUAUAGCUUAACAUUGAAUUUGGGUAAUUGAUGUGUAGGAUAGGCCGGAGGCUUCGAAGCAGGUACGCCAGUAUUUGUGGAGCCGCUGUUGAAAUACGGCCCUUUGAUUAUUUGAGUUCUAACCCGUGGUUGCGGGGACACUGUUUGGUGGGUAGUUUGACUGGGGUGGUCGCCUCCAAAAGCGUAACGGAGGCUUCUAAAGGUGCCCUCACGACGAUUGGUAACCGUCGGCAGAGUG